GGGGCCCUUGGCAGGCGGCGCGGCUGGAGAGCAGCCGAAGAUUUAAGGCAUGGAUGGCGGCGGGAGCGGACUCACCUUGCAGCAUCGAUCGAGCCCUGAAAGCACCGUGACGCUUACGGUCACUCUUGCUCCGCGCGACACAAAUAAAGCCGGACAUGUGCCACUGACGCGAGACAGAAGUUAGCAUCGCUGGCCUUUGCUAAACCGAACUGCCGCGUGCUAACGCAGCCGGACGCAGAGAGCUUCCUGUCGGAUUUUUAACAACGAUUUCGAUAGAAAACCGGGGUAAAAGGACUGCACUAUGGUGUAGUCUGUCCCCGUUCUGGCCGCCGGUUUCACCGCCUUCUGAGGAGACGUUUGAGAUUGUUCUCCGAUCACAGCGAUGGACGAAGACACGCCGACCCUGAAGCCCAGGCGGAUACAAAAUCAAAACGUAGUUCAUCGCCUCAAGAGGCGCCGGAUCUGUUUGGACCGACCCGGAGCUCACUGGUACAGAGUACGGUGCUUCCACCAGAACCUUUUCCCAAACUUCACUGUGGUCAACGUGGAGAAGCCCCCCUGCUUCCUCAGAAAGUUCUCGCCAGAUGGCCGCUGUUUCAUUGCCUUCUCCUCUGACCAGACUUCUCUGGAGGUUUUACGCGCGGGACUCCGGCCUGCUGAAGUUCAAGAUCUAGGCCGGGCUGCUGGGGCGGCCGGUAAAUCACACCGUGCGGCGCCUGGUCGCAUUCACCAUCCACCCAUUCGAACCCUUCGGCAUCUCUGUGCAGCGCACCAACGCCGAGUACGUGGUCAACUUCAUGAGGCACGUCUGCGCGUGAGGAGUUCAAACCAAAAUUGGACUCAAAUUGCAGGAGCGGUGGGCUCCUGUUAUUAGCCAACGGUGACGAUGCAUUCAAACAUGUGCUCCAUCAGGAGGUACAAAACAGUGGUUCUGUGAGUCGCCUCCUCCUCUGUAGUACAUCAGCGGUCCUCUCCCGCUGAUGCAAAACCAGUGUUCCUCGCCGCUUUUCCCCCUCCCUCAUACAGCGGUCACUCCUCCCCCUCCGCGAGAAGGUAGCAAUUCUGCCUCUUUCCUUUCGUCCGCACCGCUUCACCUCUCUCCCCGCUUCCUCCUCAGAACAAAGCAGGUACCUGUAGGGAGGAGAGCAUGGAAUAAGUGUAAAUGGAGACGUAGAGAGAGUGAUUGAUGUGCGACGGAGGUGGGAAGCAGCAGGCAGCUGGACCUUUCGGAAGAAACCAAAGGUGUUUUCUUUUUCUAGCGUACACUUAAAAGCUGCACAUUCAUAUCAGAAUGGCUUGUCCAGUAGGUCCAUGAACAUCUGUCCAACAAACAUCUUUUUUUCUCACAUGGAUGGGGAAAGAGGUAUUUUUAUACGAUAAUGCUUUUACAGGUUUUUACAUAUUACCACUUGUAUAUAUUUUAUGCCAAUAAAAUGGUCUGUAAUUUGC